rnacentral:lncRNA from 1 species
GUUUUAUUGUUAUGUUUGGUUUUGUUUUAUGCUUUCAUCUCAUUUGGUGAUGAACAAACACACUGUGCAGGAUUGUUUCUGAGCUCUAGAAAUAUGGUAGUGCUUUGUCACUUUUCACUUUACACAAGGCCACAUUCAAACUGAGAAAAGUAUUGUUCCUAAACAUUGGGGCACGUGAAUCACAGGUAUUUAUUGUAAUAAAGAACAGUGCACUUUAGUGAGCCAGCUCUUUAACACAACCCAUCAACUUAAGAGACCAGAGAGGUUUUCAGCAACAUGGCCAGCACAGGCUGGAAGGGCAUGAUUUUUUUUCUGUGAGCUUUCCCAGAACUGCUGAUAUGUUCCAGUAAAAGCCUCUCAAGACUUCUGUUCAGUCUUAUGAAAUCUCACUAGCAACUAAAAGUUUCUGAGCAAUGCUGUCUUUGGCUGCCUAAUGGCUUGCUACUGUUUCAGUUCUCCUUUUGGAUCAUGCACAGAACUAUGCUGGCUGAAAACUGCUGUCACCAGAGAUGAUAGUUGACCUUCCUUUGACCCUGGUGUGCAAUGGGAUGCAGUCAGCAGUGUCUGUACCUUAAGGCUGGGUGAGGAAGGGCAAUGAACAACGCUCAGCAUCCUUCCCUGUGGUCUGGGAAAUCCUCUUCCAACACAAUUGCACUGUGGCAAUUAUCAGAGACAGUUGCCACAGCCCUCACUGUCAAGUUGCUUUUCAGAAUGAAAAUGAUGGUUGGGGAGCUUGGAUACGAUGAUAAAGAUGACUCCCAUCUGAAGUAG